AUGCUCACUUCGACAGCACAUAUACUACAAUUGGAAUGAUAAAGAGAAGAUUAGGAUGGCCCCUGCACAAGAAUAACACGAAAAUUCGGGGAGCAUUCCAUAUUUAA